rnacentral:rRNA from 1 species
CCAGCAGCUGCGGUAAUUCCAGCUCCAAUAGCGUAUAUUAAAGUUGUUGCGGUUAAAAAGCUCGUAGUUGGAUUUCUGCUGAGGACGACCGGUCCGCCCUCUGGGUGAGUAUCUGGCUCGGCCUGGGCAUCUUCUUGGAGAACGUAGCUGCACUUGACUGUGUGGUGCGGUAUCCAGGACUUUUACUUUGAGGAAAUUAGAGUGUUUCAAGCAGGCACACGCCUUGAAUACAUUAGCAUGGAAUAAUAAGAUAGGACCUUGGUUCUAUUUUGUUGGUUUCUAGAGCUGAGGUAAUGAUUAAUAGGGAUAGUUGGGGGCAUUCGUAUUUAACUGUCGGAGGUGAAAUUCUUGGAUUUGUUAAAGACGGACUACUGCGAAAGCAUUUGCCAAGGAUGUUUUCAUUGAUCAAGAACGAAAGU